rnacentral:rRNA from 1 species
UACGUAGGGUGCAAGCGUUAAUCGGAAUACUGGGCGUAAAGCGUGCGCAGGCGGUUUUGUAAGUCUGUCGUGAAAUCCCCGGGCUCAACCUGGGAAUUGCGAUGGAGACUGCAAGGCUAGAAUCUGGCAGAGGGGGGUAGAAUUCCACGUGUAGCAGUGAAAUGCGUAGAGAUGUGGAGGAACACCGAUGGCGAAGGCAGCCCCCUGGGUCAAGAUUGACGCUCAUGCACGAA